GACGAACGCUGGCGGCGUGCUUAACACAUGCAAGUCGAACGGAAAGGCCCUGCUUGCAGGGUACUCGAGUGGCGAACGGGUGAGUAACACGUGGGUGAUCUGCCCUGCACUUCGGGAUAAGCUUGGGAAACUGGGUCUAAUACCGGAUAGGAGCCAUCUUUAGUGUGGUGGUUGGAAAGUUUUUUCGGUGUAGGAUGAGCUCGCGGCCUAUCAGCUUGUUGGUGGGGUAAUGGCCUACCAAGGCGGCGACGGGUAGCCGGCCUGAGAGGGUGUACGGCCACAUUGGGACUGAGAUACGGCCCAGACUGCUACGGGAGGCAGCAGGGGGGAAUAUUGCACAAUGGGCGCAAGCCUGAUGCAGCGACGCCGCGUGGGGGAUGAAGGCCUUCGGGUUGUAAACUCCUUUCGCUAGGGACGAAGCUUUUUGUGACGGUACCUAGAGAAGAAGCACCGGCUAACUACGUG
rnacentral:rRNA from 1 species